rnacentral:rRNA from 1 species
CNCUGUUAAAGUCCUNGCCGCCCUGGGGAGGNACCGCUCGCNAAGCUUNAAACUUCAAGGNANUGCNCGGGGGCCCCNCACCAANCGGNGGAACAUGUGNUUCAAUUCGANCGCAACGCGAAGAACCCUUACCUGGGGCNGANGUGNUACUGACCANCCGGUAGAAAACAUCGCCUUCUCGCCAAGAGACAGUAGUAGAGGUGCUGCCAUGGCUGUCGUCAGCUNGUCCCGUGAGGUGCUGGGGUUAAGUCCCCGCAACGAGCGCAACCCCUACUCUUAGUUGCCACCCGCCAAGGGGGAACUCUAAGAGGACUGCUCCGGAUAACGGAGAGGAAGGUGGGGAUGACGUCAAGUCAGCACGGCCUUUAUGUCCCAGGGCUACACACGUGUUACAAUGCAUGGUACAGACCGUCGCGAACCCGNCGAGGGGAAGCCAAUCGGAAAAAACCAUGCUCAGUUCGGAUUGCAGUCUGCAACUCGACUGCAUGAAGCUGGAAUCGCUAGUAAUGCCGUAUCAGAACGACGGCGUGAAUACGUUCCCGGGCCUUGUACACACCGCCCGUCACAUCACGAAAGUGGGCUGUACUAGAAGUCGCCGCGCCAACCGCAAGGAGGCAAGCGCCCAAGGUAUGGCUCAUGAUUGGGGUGAAGUCGUAACCAAGGUACC